rnacentral:rRNA from 1 species
GACGAACGCUGGCGGCGUGCCUAAUACAUGCAAGUCGAACGAACUCUGGUAUUGAUUGGUGCUUGCAUCAUGAUUUACAUUUGAGUGAGUGGCGAACUGGUGAGUAACACGUGGGAAACCUGCCCAGAAGCGGGGGAUAACACCUGGAAACAGAUGCUAAUACCGCAUAACAACUUGGACCGCAUGGUCCGAGUUUGAAAGAUGGCUUCGGCUAUCACUUUUGGAUGGUCCCGCGGCGUAUUAGCUAGAUGGUGGGGUAACGGCUCACCAUGGCAAUGAUACGUAGCCGACCUGAGAGGGUAAUCGGCCACAUUGGGACUGAGACACGGCCCAAACUCCUACGGGAGGCAGCAGUAGGGAAUCUUCCACAAUGGACGAAAGUCUGAUGGAGCAACGCCGCGUGAGUGAAGAAGGGUUUCGGCUCGUAAAACUCUGUUGUUAAAGAAGAACAUAUCUGAGAGUAACUGUUCAGGUAUUGACGGUAUUUAACCAGAAAGCCACGGCUAACUACGUGCCAGCAGCCACGGUAAUACGUAGGUGGCAAGCGUUGUCCGGAUUCAUUGGGCGUAAAGCGAGCGCAGGCGGUUUUUUAAGUCUGAUGUGAAAGCCUUCGGCUCAACCGAAGAAGUGCAUCGGAAACUGGGAAACUUGAGUGCAGAAGAGGACAGUGGAACUCCAUGUGUAGCGGUGAAAUGCGUAGAUAUAUGGAAGAACACCAGUGGCGAAGGCGGCUGUCUGGUCUGUAACUGACGCUGAGGCUCGAAAGUAUGGGUAGCAAACAGGAUUAGAUACCCUGGUAGUCCAUACCGUAAACGAUGAAUGCUAAGUGUUGGAGGGUUUCCGCCCUUCAGUGCUGCAGCUAACGCAUUAAGCAUUCCGCCUGGGGAGUACGGCCGCAAGGCUGAAACUCAAAGGAAUUGACGGGGGCCCGCACAAGCGGUGGAGCAUGUGGUUUAAUUCGAAGCUACGCGAAGAACCUUACCAGGUCUUGACAUACUAUGCAAAUCUAAGAGAUUAGACGUUCACUUCGGGGACAUGGAUACAGGUGGUGCAUGGUUGUCGUCAGCUCGUGUCGUGAGAUGUUGGGUUAAGUCCCGCAACGAGCGCAACCCUUAUUAUCAGUUGCCAGCAUUAAGUUGGGCACUCUGGUGAGACUGCCGGUGACAAACCGGAGGAAGGUGGGGAUGACGUCAAAUCAUCAUGCCCCUUAUGACCUGGGCUACACACGUGCUACAAUGGAUGGUACAACGAGUUGCGAACUCGCGAGAGUAAGCUAAUCUCUUAAAGCCAUUCUCAGUUCGGAUUGUAGGCUGCAACUCGCCUACAUGAAGUCGGAAUCGCUAGUAAUCGCGGAUCAGCAUGCCGCGGUGAAUACGUUCCCGGGCCUUGUACAUACCGCCCGUCACACCAUGAGAGUUUGUAACACCCAAAGUCGGUGGGGUAACCUUUUAGGAACCAGCCGCCUAAGGUGGGACAGAUGAUUAGGGUG